GACGAACGCUGGCGGCGUGCUCAACACAUGCAAGUCGAGCGGUAAGGCCCUUUCGGGGGUACACGAGCGGCGAACGGGUGAGUAACACGUGGGUGACCUGCCCUCAGCUCUGGGAUAAGCCUGGGAAACCGGGUCUAAUACUGGAUAUGACUCCAUGACGCAUGUUGUGGGGUGGAAAGCCUUGUGCGGCUGAAGGAUGGGCCCGCGGCCUAUCAGCUUGUUGGUGGGGUGAUGGCCUACCAAGGCGACGACGGGUAGCCGGCCUGAGAGGGCGACCGGCCACACUGGGACUGAGACACGGCCCAGACUCCUACGGGAGGCAGCAGUGGGGAAUCUUGCGCAAUGGGCGAAAGCCUGACGCAGCGACGCCGCGUGAGGGAUGACGGCCUCGGUU
rnacentral:rRNA from 1 species